CUACGGGAGGCAGCAGUGGGGAAUCUUGCGCAAUAGGGGAAACCCUGACGCAGCGACGCCGCGUGGAGGAUGAAGGUCUUCGGGUUGUAAACUCCUUUUCUCAGGGAAAAUGAUGAUGGUACCUGAGGAAUAAGCCACGGCUAACUCUGUGCCAGCAGCCGCGGUAAGACAGAGGUGGCGAGCGUUGUUCGGAAUCACUGGGCUUAAAGGGCGAGUAGGCGGUGGAGCAAGUCUGMGGUAGAAUCCUAUSGCUUAACCAUAGAAUUSCCUUAGAAACUGCUUUACUUGAGUCAGUGAGGGGAGGGCGGAAUUCCUGGUGUAGCGGUGAAAUGCGUAGAUAUCAGGAGGAAGGCCUGUGGCGAAGGCGGCCCUCUGGCACUGAACUGACGCUGAGGCGCGAAAGCGUGGGGAGCAAACAGGAUUAGAUACCCUGGUAGUCCACGCCCUAAACGGUGGGCAAUUAGGUGUAGGGCUCGUAAGGGUUCUGUGCCGAAGGGAAACCAUUAAAUGCCCCGCCUGGGGAGUACGGCCGCAAGGUUGAAACUCAAAUGAAUUGACGG
rnacentral:rRNA from 1 species